rnacentral:rRNA from 1 species
UACGUAGGCAGCGAGCGUUGUUCGGCGUUACUGGGCGUAAAGGGUGUGUAGGCGGUUGUUUAAGUUUGGUGUGAAAUCUCCCGGCUCAACUGGGAGGGUGCGCCGAAUACUGAAUGACUUGGAGUGCGGGAGAGGAGAGUGGAAUUCCUGGUGUAGCGGUGAAAUGCGUAGAUAUCAGGAGGAACACCGGUGGUGUAGACGGCUCUCUGGACCGUAACUGACGCUGAGACACGAAAGCGUGGGUAGCAAACAGG